UUGACCAUGUCUUUCUCUUCCUCUGGAAUAAUACUGGUGUCAGUUUAAUAGAACACAUUGAAAUAAUGUCUAAGUAUAUUCAACAUUGAUACUGUAAUCAUAGUAAGAACGAAACCAGGAGACUUGACAUGCUGUAAGCAUAGCUAUCCAUUUCAAACAGCUACAAGGAAGACUUAUUUGCACAUAAUUACUAUUUCAAGAUAAUUUCUCUUGAUCCUGACACCGCAAGGCUGGAAAAGGGCUUUGAACUGGGGCUAGGUCUUCUGUGCAGCUGGGGAGGCUUGAAAGGGCUAUGAACUUCCAUAUCUCACUGGGAGCUGAUGCCUACGCCUGGGACUCAAGAAGUGGAUAUGAGGUGCUCUUUUAUGGUUGCAGCGAGGUCCUGGUAUCCUGAAGUUGGUCUAUGCCCAGAUCAGGAAACUGAGACUCAAAGAGACCCAGAGAAGUUGCCCAAGUUCAUCAAGGUGAUGAUGAGGAUGGUGAUCAGAAUCUGGAACGCUCUUCUUCCUCCCACUGAAUCAUGGUUUCCCUGCUCUCCUUCCAGAAUAAACUCAAAUCCUACUUCCUGUGGGAGGUUUCUCUCUGCUCACCCAGCAACUAGUGUCUUCCCUUUAAGAUAACCUUCCAUUUAUACUGUAUAUACUAUAUGCAUAUUCCUAUUUUUGUAUUAAAUUCAGUCUGUACUUCCCAAUUUGUCUCAUUUUUAUAGAAGAGACUAAAAUGUGAGUUCCACUUUUUUCUCUUUAUUUGUACUCCCACCUUUCAGUAUCAUACUUGGCACAUAGAAAGUUUCUAAUAAGUUUUUGCUGAUCCUUUGGUCUUACAUUCAGGGUGACCUGGCUUCAAAUUAUGCCUCUGAUACACAUUUACCAUAAGAUCCUUGGCAAGUCAUUGAACCUAAUGCAUUUGACAACACUUUAAGAAUAUAAUCCAGACUGACAAUCUUUGUCACUAGAGUGAGUUUUCAUAUUGGGAGUUUCCUACAUG
rnacentral:lncRNA from 1 species